rnacentral:rRNA from 1 species
AUUGAACGCUGGCGGCAGGCCUAACACAUGCAAGUCGAGCGGAUGAAGGGAGCUUGCUCCUGGAUUCAGCGGCGGACGGGUGAGUAAUGCCUAGGAAUCUGCCUGGUAGUGGGGGAUAACGUCCGGAAACGGGCGCUAAUACCGCAUACGUCCUGAGGGAGAAAGUGGGGGAUCUUCGGACCUCACGCUAUCAGAUGAGCCUAGGUCAGAUUAGCUAGUUGGUGGGGUAAAGGCCUACCAAGGCGACGAUCCGUAACUGGUCUGAGAGGAUGAUCAGUCACACUGGAACUGAGACACGGUCCAGACUCCUACGGGAGGCAGCAGUGGGGAAUAUUGGACGAUGGGCGAAAGCCUGAUCCAGCCAUGCCGCGUGUGUGAAGAAGGUCUUCGGAUUGUAAAGCACUUUAAGUUGGGAGGAAGGGCAGUAAGUUAAUACCUUGCUGUUUUGACGUUACCAACAGAAUAAGCACCGGCUAACUUCGUG